UUAGGUCUAAUCUGCCCAAUGAGAUUUUAAAUGGCUGCAGUAUUUUAACUGUACAAAGGUAGCAUAAUAAUUAGUCUUUUAAUUAAGGACUGGAAUGAAUGAUUGAACGAGAUAAUAACUGUCUCUAUUUAAAUUAUAGAAUUUUAUUUUUAAGUUAAAAAGCUUAAAUAUAUUUAAAAGACGAGAAGACCCUAUAGAGUUUAAUAUUUUUUAAUAAUUUAUUUUUUAGAUAAUAAAUUAAUAAAUUUUUUAAAAAUUAUUUGAUUGGGGUGAUUAAAAAAUUUAAUUAACUUUUUUUUUUGAUAACACUAAUUAGUGAUUAAUUGAUCCAAUUUUUAUUGAUUAUAAGAUUAAAUUACCUUAGGGAUAACAGCGUAAUUUUUUUAGAGAGUUCAUAUCGAAAAAAAAGAUUGCGACCUCGAUGUUGGAUUAAAAUUAAUUUUUGGCGUAGUAGUUAAAAAAUUAGGUCUGUUCGACCUUUAAAAUUUUACAUGAUCUGAGUUUAAAUCGGCGUGAGCCAGGUUGGUUUCUAUCUUUAAAAAAUUAAAAUAUUUUAGUACGAAAGGACCAAAUAUUUAUAAAAUUUAUUUUUUUAAUGAAUUA
rnacentral:rRNA from 1 species